rnacentral:rRNA from 1 species
CCUACGGGAGGCAGCAGUGAGGAAUAUUGGUCAAUGGGCGCAAGCCUGAACCAGCCAUCCCGCGUGCAGGAAGACGGCGCUAUGCGUUGUAAACUGCUUUUCCAGGGGGAGAAACUUGCGCACGUGUUGCGCAAUUGACGGUACCCUGGGAAUAAGCAUCGGCUAACUCCGUGCCAGCAGCCGCGGUAAUACGGAGGAUGCGAGCGUUAUCCGGAUUCAUUGGGUUUAAAGGGUGCGUAGGCGGACUAUUAAGUCAGUGGUGAAAUCCUGCAGCUUAACUGCAGAACUGCCAUUGAUACUGAUAGCCUUGAGUUUGGUUAAGGUAGGCGGAAUGUGUAAUGUAGCGGUGAAAUGCUUAGAUAUUACACAGAACACCAAUUGCGUAGGCAGCUUACUGAGCCGACACUGACGCUGAGGCACGAAAGCGUGGGGAUCGAACAGGAUUAGAUACCCUGGUAGUCCACGCCGUAAACGAUGAUUACUCGCUGUUGGCGAUACACUGUC